CGUGGGGUAGUAAAAUUUUAUUAUGCCAUUUUGAUAGAGUGGAGUUGACGAAAAGUUCCUCGCA
rnacentral:tRNA from 1 species